AGUGUAGGCGGUCAAGCAAGUCAGAGGUGAAAGGCAUCGGCUCAACCGAUGUAAGCCUUUGAAACUGUUUGACUUGAGUGCAGGAGAGGUAAGUGGAAUUCCUAGUGUAGCGGUGAAAUGCGUAGAUAUUAGGAGGAACACCAGUGGCGAAGGCGACUUACUGGACUGUAACUGACGCUGAGGCUCGAAAGCGUGGGGAGCAACA
rnacentral:rRNA from 1 species